ACAAAUAGACACAAAGAUAAACCUCCCUAUCCUAUUAGCAUGCCUCUCAAGCUUAUAGACCCUACCAUUUUCAUUCCAUACCUUAUUGCAAAUCGAUGACUCCUCCUCCCUCCAAUAAGCCUCUGUACCUUCUAGCAAGCAUCUCAGACUUAUCUCCCCAAACUUAAUCCAACUAGUGCAACCUCUCCCUUUCUCCACAAUCACCCUUUUCAGCUUUCCAAAAACCUCCUCAAUGGAAAUCUCAAACGACUUUGCCUCCACAACAAACCAGUUUCUUCCUCCUCUCAUUCAAUGCGAGGCCUUGCAUAUUUUUAAGCAUACUCUUCUCUAGCCACCCUAAUUUUAGUUUGCUUGGGAGG
rnacentral:lncRNA from 1 species